UAGUGUGAGUGAUUCUUUGACCUGCAGUGUCAUUGGCUAUUUACAGUGAGGUUAUUGGGUUUGACUGUACAUUCUCUUAGUCUCUAGCCAUUCGAAUCCUUGCUGUGUAUGUUGGCUUCAAUAGGUUCAGAUUCGCUGUUUGGAGUAGGAUGCAUCUAAAUAAAAUCUAUCGACCUUGAUAAAAAAAGAGUUCUAUGCGAUUUACGAGACUGA
rnacentral:lncRNA from 1 species